CCCUUUUCACAAUGAAAACCCUAACCCUCACCACAUUUUCUCUUUCAUCUCUCACCUCAUUCUGUCUUUCACACUCUCUCUCAUUUUCUCUCUUUAAAAUGAAAGAACCCUAGCUCCAUCUCACUGUUGGAUCAUGGAGAUUCAUCUCUUUGGAGCCUUGGAGGAGAUCAACAACUCUUGGAGGAAGCCCUAAGGAGGAAAAGACAAACCACCUCCACCACAUUUCUCUUGCUAGUAGGAGCAGAGGAUUUUCUUGGAGUUUUAAAGAUAUCAAGGAGCUUCUCUUAGGCAAGAUUCAAAGAGAAGAGUUACCUACCGCCCGCGAGGCAGGGGAUCCCAACAAGGGCAUUGCAAGUAGCUAGAUCAGUGUGUGAGCUGCUUGAGCAAGAUAGGCGCACCAUACCGCUGUGGAGGUGAGCCCUCUUUGCCGAACUGUGGGAACAUGCUGAUUAGGGCGCCCCCAGUUCUGGGUUUAGGGCGCCCAAAUCUGGGAUUUCGGUGCUGAGGCAGCAACCUUCUUUUCUUCAUCCAAAUCCCCUCCAAAUCAGCUCUACUCCAUCUCUUCCUCCUUGCGGUGGAUCCAGAAUUGCAGGAUUCCAUCAGUAACCUCGGCAAAUUGUGGAAUUGUGAUCUGUUGGGCCUUCCAAUUGCUGUGGGGAACAAUUUUGCGGAUUGUAGACUUGAGGGGGAGUGUGUGAAGUAAUCCUAACUCCAUUUAAUCUAGGAUAGCAUAGUUGAAUUGCUGAAAUUUUACUUGAAUUGGAAUUUUGAGCUGAAAUUGAACUUUUGUUGGUUUUCUUGGACCUGAUUCUUAUUGUAGUUGGCUUUUGGAUUUGGAACUGAUUCUUAUUGAAGGAGGUUUUUGAACCCCUUCCCACUGGUUUUGCAAGUUGAAAUUCCCAAAUUUUAGCUUGAAUUGAGUUGAUGUGCUGGCAACUUACUGCUUUCUGGACUUUGCUGAAUCUGGGCCUCCAUUUUUGGAUCUAGAUUGUCUUGGAGGACUUUUGGUUGCUAUUAUAGUUGAGAACUGGUGGAGCAACACACCCUUGUGUUGGGUCCGGUUGCUAUGAGAGCCGUCAAUUGCUGCUGCUGCUUCUGAUCGAGAUAAGAAAGUCGCAAUCUAGAUCCUGUCUACUCCGAUCGUUGAGCUAGAGAAGUACCAUUUUGGAGACAAUAGUUGUUUAUAGUCAUGUACCCAAUUGUAUUUUAUUUCAUCUGUUGAGAGUUGUGAGGUGUUGGUGUUAUACUUUGAUUUUUGUUAUACACCUUGGAUUAUAUUAUGUACAGGUGACUUAUUUAUUUC